rnacentral:lncRNA from 1 species
AAUCAGUCUACUGCAGUUCUAGGUCAGUUUUGCUCUUUAUUUAUUUAUAUUUUUUUUGUACCUACUUUGUGCUGUCUUACAUGCAAGUGGAAACAACUCUUUUGGAUAGUCUAAGAAAUAUGUGUUUCUUUUUCUCUAAGCCUGAUUCCACCUGGCUGUGUAACUAUGGAUUUCCUGUGUGUGUGCUGUCUUGGUUUUCAACAAGCAUUGUGUCUUGUGCUGACAAUGAAGCCAUCUCAGAAGAUUGUGACCAUUUUUUAUCUUCUGAAUCUCCAGCCUUAGAGUGAAAUUUGUCAGGUUUAUUGUCUGCCAGAAGGUCACCUUCAAAGAAAGGUGCAAAAUUGCAAGGAUAUCAGCUGAGGGAUUUUGCAUGAACACAAAGCUUGCUGAAGUCCAGUCAUGAUGUCUCAUAAAAUGGUAAAGCUCUUCUUCUUGAACAUCAAAGAAGUACAUCAAAGUGUACCUCCUGAUGCUAUGGAAGCUGGUUAAACAGAUUCAACAGUUAUCCUGUAAUAAGCUUUGGAAAGAUAUCUAUGCAUAAAUGAGACAGAAUAUUUUGAAUCAUGAGAAUCUUUCUAAAAUUAUGUGGAGUGAACAAAUAGAAGGUCUAGCUCUUAC